AAUCAACGCUGGCGGCGUGCCUCAGACAUGCAAGUCGAACGAUUAAACUUCCCUUCGGGGAAGAUAUAAAGUGGCGCACGGGUGAGUAACACGUAGGUAAUGUACCUUUGGGUGGGGAAUAACUUAGGGAAACUUAAGCUAAUACCGCAUAAUGCAGCGGCUCCUUCGGGAGACAGUUGUUAAAGAUUUAUCGCCUAAAGAGCAGCCUGCGGCAGAUUAGCUAGUUGGUAAGGUAACGGCUUACCAAGGCUACGAUCUGUAUCCGACCUGAGAGGGUGGUCGGACACACUGACACUGAAUAACGGGUCAGACUCCUACGGGAGGCAGCAGUCGGGAAUUUUGGGCAAUGGGCGAAAGCCUGACCCAGCAACGCCGCGUGAAGGAUGAAGUCUUUCGGGAUGUAAACUUCGUAAGAAUAGGAAGAAUAAAUGACGGUACGAUUUGUAAGGUCCGGCUAACUACGUG
rnacentral:rRNA from 1 species